rnacentral:lncRNA from 1 species
AUGAAAAAAGAAUCCCAGGCAACCCCUGACUCUAGUGGGAUUUUUCCCUGGGCAGAGGCUGCGGGCGGAGGCUGCGGAAGCAGAUCCCGAGGAUGGCCAGGCUGGCGGCCGCCCCCACGCCCAGGGAUCCGAAGGUUUCCAGGGAAGAGGGAAGUGGGAAGCGGCCCCGCCGCUCCUCCAUGUCCCUGGAGACGGCUUCCAGCUGGAAGAGCGUUCCCAAAAUCCCGCAGACGUGGAAAACCUGGUGGCUGUGCCCUGCGACGGAAAACGCCGAGAAUUCCACGGAAAUUCCACGGAAAUUCCACGGAAAUUCCACGGGAGUUCCGUGGGGGUUCGGAUGGGCCAAGUGGGUUCCACACCCCCAGAAUGCUCCGGGGGCUUGGAGCGCCCUGGGAUGGUGGGAGGUGUCCCUGCCCAUCCAAAGCAUCCCGGGAUUCCAGGAUUCCAGGAUUGCAUCGCACUCAGGUCACUUCACCUGGCAUCCAGGGAAUAUUUAUCCUACAAAUUCCUGCUCCUGAUUCCUGGGAUUUGAUCAUCCUAAAAAUUUCUACUCCCAGUGCUUGUGGCUUGUGGGGGGGUUUACUCCUAGGAUUCCAUAGGGUUCAUUCCCAGCAUUCCCUGGGUUCAUUCCUGGGAUCCCCUGGGGUCAUUCCUGGCAUUCCCCUGGGGUUUAUUCCUGGCAUUCCCUGGCUUUAUUCUUGGGAUUCCCUGGGUCCAUUCCCUGGGUUCCCUGAGGUCAUUCACAUCAUUCCCUGGGUCCAUUCCCUGGGUCCAUUCCCUGGAUUCCCCGGGGUCACUCCCGGCAUUCCCGGGGUCCAUUCCCUGGGUCCAUUCCCUGGGUCCAUUCCCUGGGUUCAUUCCCUGGGUUCAUUCCCUGGAUUCCCCGAGGUCAUUCCUGGCAUUCCCUGGGUUCAUUCCCUGGGGUCCACUCCCUGGGGUCCAUUCCCUGGGUUUAUUCCCUGGAUUCCCCGAGGUCAUUCACAUCAUUCCCUGGGUCCAUUCCCUGGGUCCAUUCCCUGGAUUCCCCGGGGUCACUCCCGGCAUUCCCGGGGUCCAUUCCCUGGGUCCAUUCCCUGGGUCCAUUCCCUGGAUUCCCCGGGGUCACUCCCGGCAUUCCCGGGGUCCAUUCCCUGGGUCCAUUCCCUGGGUCCAUUCCCUGGAUUCCCCGGGGUCACUCCCGGCAUUCCCGGGGUCCAUUCCCUGGGUCCAUUCCCUGGGUCCAUUCCCUGGAUUCCCCGGGGUCACUCCCGGCAUUCCCGGGGUCCAUUCCCUGGGUCCAUUCCCUGGGUCCAUUCCCUGGGUCCCCCCCCCCCCCCCCCCCCCCCCCCCCCCCCCCCCCCCCCCCCCCCCCCCCCCCCCCCCCCCCCCCCCCCCCCCCCCCCCCCCCCCCCCCC